GAUGAACGCUGGCGGCGUGCCUAAUACAUGCAAGUCGAGCGAACGGACGAGAAGCUUGCUUCUCUGAUGUUAGCGGCGGACGGGUGAGUAACACGUGGAUAACCUACCUAUAAGCCCGGGUUAACUUCGGGAAACCGGAGCUAAUACCGGAUGCUAUUUUGAACCGAUUGGUUCAACAGUGAAAGACGGUCUUGCUGUCACCUCUAGCUGUCUCCGCGCUGCAUUAGCUAGUUGGUAAGGUAACGGCUUACCAAGGCGACGAUGCAUAGACGACCUGAGAGGGUGAUCGUCCACACUGGAACUGAGACACGGUCCGAACUCCUGCGGGAGGCAGCAGUUGGGAAUCUUCCGCAAUGGGCGAAAGCCUGACGGAGCAACGCCGCGUAAGUGAUGAAGAUCUUCCGAUCGUAGAUCUCUGUUAUUAGGGAAGAACAUAUGUAUAAGUAACUGUGCACAUCUUGACGGUACCUAAUCAGAAAGCCACGGCUAACUACGUG
rnacentral:rRNA from 1 species